rnacentral:lncRNA from 1 species
UCCAAUGAGGAUUGUCUUGCUUACAUGAGCAUUGAUGCUACUUGGUGUGAUGGGCAUAAUAAUGGUUUUAUUUUUUAGUUUUGAGAUUUCAAAGAGGGUCACUCAACGAAAGGUUAUCAUUCAUCACUGUAACCCAGUCUUCUGCAAACUUGUUGAGUAUCCAUGUAAUUAUGAUUAAUUCUUGGUGUUAAUGGACCCUGUAUAUUUAUAUAGCAAUGCUUGUUUUUUUAACUCAAAAAUUCACAGGAGAGUUUCAAAGCUGCUUUCAAGGAAGUCUAUAGACUAAACAAAGUUUCUGUCACGACAACUAACUCAAUGGUAUGAAAUAUGCCAUAGAGGAUGGCUAUUCCAUGAUGAAACAUGAGGUAGGUCUCUUCUUACAGAUAAUCUGAAGCUGAACGUUUGUAACAUUCAUGCUUAUUUCUUUUACUCCUUUUCAUUUUUUCGGUUUCUUCGUAGCACGAUAGGCUUUCCCAAGGAAGUAAGUACUAUGAUGUGCAUGUAUUAUUGUUCUUGAUCUGAUUUCAGGUCUGCCUGCCUUAGGUACCGGAGGAUAAAGCUCAGGAGAUGAUGGCAUAGGCAGUAAAAAAGCUGGUAUUGUGCUUGUAUGAAACUACACCUUCUAUAUACAUGCUUGUUUUAAAGAUACUGUUAUGCUAAGUGACAAUCAUUUAAUUUCCUCAGAGUAUAAAAUCCAAAUUCUGCGAUCAGUACAUCAGAAAAAGGGUGGACAUUGCCUGAGCUAUCAUGCUGAUUACUAUGGUAUACUACCGUAAUCUUUGUUUGUAAUUGUGCAUAGGUUGAUAUCUUCUCUGUUUUUCGUAACCAAGUUAUUUGUGCAUAUAAACCACUGUACAUAUAGCCAAACAUAAAACAUACAACCAAACAUCCAUAGAGAUGCGUGGUAUUAGAGCUCGUAAGUAAUGUAACUAUAUAUUAUGAUUGUAAACCUAUCUCCUUCCCCAGAUAUGAAGGUUAGAGAAACUCAUUUUCUGAUAUUUUAAAGCUAUCUUCAUGUUCACUAUAG